AUAACACCCCGAAAGGUGUACUAAUACCGCAUAAGACCACGGGAUCACAUGGUUCUGAGGUAAAAGAUUUAUCGGUUUGGGGUGGGCUCGCGUCCGAUUAGGUAGUUGGUGAGGUAACGGCCCACCAAGCCGACGAUCGGUAGCCGACCUGAGAGGGUGAUCGGCCACAUUGGGACUGAGACACGGCCCAAACUCCUACGGGAGGCAGCAGUGGGGAAUAUUGGGCAAUGGAGGAAACUCUGACCCAGCAACGCCGCGUGGAGGAAGAAGGUUUUCGGAUCGUAAACUCCUGUCCUUGGAGACGAGUAGAAGACGGUAUCCAAGGAGGAAGCCCCGGCUAACUACGUGCCAGCAGCCGCGGUAAUACGUAGGGGGCAAGCGUUGUCCGGAAUAAUUGGGCGUAAAGGGCGCGUAGGCGGCUCGGUAAGUCUGGAGUGAAAGUCCUGCUUUUAAGGUGGGAAUUGCUUUGGAUACUGUCGGGCUUGAGUGCAGGAGAGGUUAGUGGAAUUCCCAGUGUAGCGGUGAAAUGCGUAGAGAUUGGGAGGAACACCAGUGGCGAAGGCGACUAACUGGACUGUAACUGACGCUGAGGCGCGAAAGUGUGGGGAGCAAACAGGAUUAGAUACCCUGGUAGUCCACACUGUAAAC
rnacentral:rRNA from 1 species